rnacentral:tRNA from 1 species
GCUGAACUUAGAUAUACCUCAGUCAGUAAAGCAUGAGACUCUUAAUCUCUGGGUUGUGGUUUCAAGCCCCAUGUUGGGCA